rnacentral:rRNA from 1 species
UACGUAGGGUGCAAGCGUUAUCCGGAAUUAUUGGGCGUAAAGAGCUCGUAGGCGGUUUGUCGCGUCUGCUGUGAAAACCCGAGGCUCAACCUCGGGCCUGCAGUGGGUACGGGCAGACUAGAGUGCGGUAGGGGAGAUUGGAAUUCCUGGUGUAGCGGUGGAAUGCGCAGAUAUCAGGAGGAACACCGAUGGCGAAGGUAGAUCUCUGGGCCGUAACUGACGCUGAGGAGCGAAAGCGUGGGAGCGAACAGG